AGGGGUGGCUACCGGGUGACCGGAUGCCGAUCUCGAAAACCUGUCCCAGUUCGGACUGGAGUCUGCAACCCGACUCCACGAAGUUGGAUUCGCUAGUAAUCGCGCAUCAGCCAUGGCGCGGUGAAUACGUUCCCGGGCCUUGUACACACCGCCCGUCACACCAUGGGAGUUUGUAACGCCCAAAGUCGGUGGCCUAACCUUUAUGGAGGGAGCCGCCUAAGGCGGGACAGAUGACUGGGGUGAAGUCGUAACAAGGUAUC
rnacentral:rRNA from 1 species